AUCUUUUCUUGGCUUUUUAGCUAAAAAAAAAAAAAAAAUCUGUUCUUAUCAGUUUAAUAUCUGAUACGUCCCUACCGGGACCAUAUAUUAAAUUGAUUUUUGGAGCAGGGAGAUGGAAUAGGGCUUGCUCCGUCCACUCCACGCAUCGACCUGGUAUUCAGUAUUUCUAGGAACGGUGCACCCCCU
rnacentral:snRNA from 1 species